AAUUUCCAUAACUUUGUCAUUUCUCAACGAAAUCAAGUGAUUCAAAAACGAGAGUUGUAGCCCUUGAAGAGACAAAGAGAAUGGUACCUUUCACAACACCUAGUUCGCCGUGGUUUGGCCGGAAACUGCCUCGAAAGCCUCGGAGGUCGCCGGAAACUGGGUAUUUUUCAAAUGAGUAUAACUUCUUCAAUACUCAACGAAAUUGAGUGAAACAAAAAGGAAAGUUGUAGUACUUGACGAGACGAAGAUAUUUAUACCUACCUCGACUCCUAACUCGCAGGGGAUUCGCCGGAAAAAGCCUCGAAAGCUCCGGCCAAACUUUGAACUUGUCGAUCUCCGUGUUCUUACGUCCAAAAACUUCCAACGAAGCACUCCGAGCUUCCUUGGGACUUCCUAAAGCUCACUAUGAGCUUGGUUUGGCCUAAAACACGACCAAUUCAAAGCUCAUGAACAGUACACAUUCACGGCAACUUUAGAAACUAGGGUUUUCGAAGUGAAACUUACUUGAAAUGGGUAUCAUCGUGAUCGUAUGGUCUUCAGGAGUACGAUGGCACUCUUAAAUCCGUCGUUGGUGGAAGUUUAGGGUGUUUUUGUGGUGGUCUUGGUGGUUGCCGUGUGUUCGAGAGGGUGAGAGAGAGAGAGAGAUCUGAAAUGGAAGAAGAAGAGAGAGAAGGGAAAGGUUACGGGUUUUAGGGAGUGUUUUGAGGUAUGAGGAUCCCACCUUAACCCAAACACAACAUUACAACCUAGUUUUUAGUCCCUAACACAAAUUAACCAUAGUUCAGGAACUUUAAAAAAAACAAAUGUCAUCUCUUUACACACCUUAAUCUCGUUUAAGGUCAUUUUUGAAAUUUCACGUCCUCGGAAUGAAAAAUCCCGGGACGAGCUGUGACAAUCUUCCCUCCUUAUAGAAUUUCGUCCCCGAAAUUCCAGCAACCAGCUAAAUUAACCAUACUCAUACAAUAGCCUCGGGUAAAUCUCUCUCAUCCGAUUCUCUUUCUCCCACGUAAUUUCUUCCACCGAAUAAUUUUCUUCACAAAAAACUUUUACCACUUACCCUGUUUUAAUUCUGAGGGCAUCACAAGCUUGUAAGCAACUUCACCAACUUUUCGAUAAUCACUUAAGUCCGAUUCACUUAGGAUUUAACUUACCUUCUUUCUCUACCUUGGUUAAUUCUUAAAUUUCUUCGUCAAGCAUUUAAGUUUCGAGUACGACCUUACCAAACAGGCCUAACUUGAAAUUUUAACAAGUAUAACUUCUUCUCGAUCUUCCCAUUCUUAAUUUUUCUUCCGUUGGUUUUCAAUUCACAAGAUGAUACUCUUGGCAAACGUGCCAGACAUUAAUCAUACUGUAGUCUUCUCACCAAGUGCUUCAGCUACAACAAUUCACGAUCACCCUGAUCGUACCAUCAUGUUCAUUAAGCAAUACAAUUCACCUUUGUUGCCUCAUAUCAAAAUCCUUCCGAAUAAACAAAUAUUGGAGACUCUUUUGAUUUGUAAAAUCUUGCAUUCUUUUCAACAUAUAAUGUCUCCACAACUUCACAGCAAGGAUGAUAAUCGUGACUUCCAAGUCACCAGUAGGGUAAUUCAUCUCAUUAGGUUCCAUUUGUCGUGAAACAUAUUCAAUCACCCUAACAUUUGCAUCAAUACAUCUCCAAGAAUAUUUAAUGUACCAUCACCAUAAACCAAUAAUUACCGCUAUCUUCUGGGAUUACUAAAAUACGUGCAUGAGUGAGGAAAUACUCCAGUUGUUGAAUCCUUUGCUCACAAUUUCCUUCCCACUCAUACAUAACCUCCUUUCUCAACAGUCUUGUCAAUGACAAAGCAAUGACUAAAAAUUCUUUCACAACCAUCCAAAAUAGCCUGAUAAGUUAAGAAUUUCCGAAUCUCAAUUAUGACUUGUGGUUGUUCCAAUUUCUCAAUUCUGCUGCCUUUUAAGAAUUCAUUUGAAUACCUUAAGCAGAUAUAACCAACCUCAGAAUGCCACCUGAUUCAUCUAACUUUCGCAUUUGCUAAACUUAGCAUAUAAUCGACAUUCUUCCAAUCUUUGUUCCACCGACUUAAUACAUUUACAUGCUCUGCUCUGGCUCAUAAUAUGCCAGAAUAUCUUCAACGAAAAUGAUAUCAAUUAUCAAAGCAUUAUUGGAAUACUUCAUCCAUCAACUCAUAAAACAGAAUGAGUAUCCAUAUAGCAUCACCAAACUUCAUAAAGACUAUAACAAGUCCAGAAAACUAUCUUAUGAUCAAUGUCGCUCAAAAUCUUCAAUUGGUAAUAACCAGACCUCAAUCAAUCUUUUGAAAAUACACAAAUACCUUUGAGCUGGUCAAACAAACAUCAACGCACCAUGGAUAACGGUUCUCGAUCGUUACCAAUUCCAUUGUCUAUAAUCAAUGCACAAUCUCUAAGUCCAUUUUCUUUUUCACCAACAAACUGGGGCUCCUCAAAAGUGUUGUACUAGGUUGAAUAAAACUUUUAUCAACCAAUUCUCUCAACUGAAUUUCCAAUUCCCUUAACUCAUCCUGAACCAAUCUCCAAUAUAAAUUUAUACCUGGUAACAAAUCAAUAAUGAACCUCAUAUCUCUGCCUGAAGACAAUCCAGGUAUACUUCAGGGAAGACAUCAAGAAAAGUCUAACCCCUUUUUCAUUUUUCACACUUCUCCGAGCAACAUCCUUUAGUACCACAUGAACUAAGUAUUUUUUUUUGGGCAGCCUUUCAAAACAAUCUCUUUGCUUUCACAGCAUAAAUAACGGCCUGACUCAAUCCACUUUGCAUACUUACAAAAGAAAUCCCUGGUCAUCCAGAUCGAUGGAAAAUACUGGUUUCCCGUAACAUUCCGUCUUGUCACAAUUAUAACCAACCAAUCUAAUGGAACAAAAUUAACUGAUACAAUAUAUAUUCUAUUAUUAUUAAGCAUUCUAAAUAAGUACAAUACUAACAUAAAAUAAUCUACCGGGUUGCUUGCUUAACGAAUCCACGAAUGAGUUAUUAAUAUUACGGUCUGCAGCCCGCAAAUACUGAUAAAUCAUCGUUGUCUCGAUAAGUAGGCAACCACUCUCAAAGAUAUAACAUUACUAUUUUGUCACUCAAUGCAAAAUACAUACACUCGUCUCAACUACAUUUAUUUACUACUCUCUAGGUAAUAACAUACAUAAUAAGAAAUAUAUCAGCCGAAGUCAACUAGAAUGACCAAUACGGCUGAUUCAACUCUUAUCUCAAUAAUACGUCGGUCGGAUCCACUCCGCGUGGUCGGUACGGCCGAGCCUAUAACUCACCAAUUUCUCAUGCGUCAGCCAGAUCCACCUCUCGUGGCCUGUAUGGCUGAACAUAUAACUCAUCAAAUCUCUCUGUACCCACGGUCAAUCCGACCAAACUACUAAAUCCAUAAACCUGCUGAAUCGAUACUACGAUGUCAUAGAAAACUGUUGGGUACAACUGAUUUUAGGGACGAUUCACAAUUCUGUGUCCCCUCUGUUCACAUAAACACAUUCAUUAAUUUCACACUUCCCAAAGUGUUAAUUUUGUACCUGCUGCACAAGGUACAUUUCCUGUACUCGAGACACCUUGUCUCAAAAAUCUGGGAUUACCAGUAUAUCCAUCACUUCGCCUCUGACUAGUGGCGUUAAAACCUCAGCUGGAAGAAUUAACUCUAGCUUCACUUCUUUCGAAGCUCUGAAUCUUUCUAUAUCCUUGAUAUGACGAAUCAUUAACUUUAUCGUCUUCUUUUGAUUCCCAUUCAUUUCUUAUUCUUCUUUAUUCUCGUUGCUCAUGUUCUCAGAGUCCUCAAGACUCAACAGCAUCUCGUAUAUUCCUGGUAAGAAGUACAAUGGAUAGUGGUCACCCAAAAUACCACUUCCCUUUUUGUCACCCAGCCUAAAACAACAUAACACCUCCACCAAAUUAACAACAAUAUCUGGAUGGAACGAGGCAAGUCUGAAAACUUUCUAUAAUAUCCCUCGAUCAUCACCUUCCUUGUCUCAUAUUUGUAAACUCUUGUUUACUACCAUCGAUAAAUGCCGGGGGAUAAACUUUUCCUUAAACAAGUCCUUAAAUAAUUCUCAAUCAACUGUUUCCUCCGGUGACAACAAUUAACAAUCCUGUUUCCACCAGGAUACAAAUUCAUACCCAAAACCAGGUAGUCGUCUCGACCCCUUGUCAGAAGGAAAUUUCCUUUAACUUGCAUAAUCUGAAACAUCUUUUCCAAACAGUUAAACCGUCACUUCGUUCCCUCAGGUUCAUUAUUUCAUAAGGUGAUUCAAAUUCGACUCAUAAUCCGUCUUAAAAUGUCCCUUUUUAUAAUAGACUGAAUCACCAUAAUAAUAGUUUCCCCUAAACCGCUAUAUUAGGGAGACUAAAUUCCUCUAACUAAGUGGCUUGCUACGAGGCGGUGUAGUUCUGACAGAAUUCACUAUAAACUUCUCAAGAUGUCCAAGAUUGCAACCAUGCUCUGAUACCAACUGACACACCCCGUCCCGAAGGAGGGCAUGCUGGCCGUCACGUGAGAGUGACGUAACCAUUUGCACAGUACGGAAGCUUUAAGAUACAAUUUAUAAGUUGAUACACCCGAAGGUGAGUCCUAAUUUUGUCCAAUCUGUCAGAACACCGUCGAAUUCCUCGUAGUCACCACACCUUUGUGAUUCCUGAACCUGGAGGGGCGCAAAACCAAAAUUGAGUGGGUCAGUAAAACAAUUCUUUUCAAAUCCAAUUUUUUCUCAAAGCAUUGUAACCCCUCUCCGUAAAACCUGUAUACUUUCCCAGAAAUGUAAAAUAUAAAUAUACAUAUAUAUUCUCAAAACUUCAAGUCGUUAACUCAACAUUUUCAUAACAAUUAUGUCAUGCCACAUCAUCUCAACAUUUCUCAUAUUAAUUAUGCCAUGCCACAUCAUCUCAACAGUAAUAAGGUAUGAAUGCAUCAACAUAAUCAUAUCAGGUGCAAGAAAGUAAUCAACCGUAGGCCCUCUAAUAGCCCUGUACGGUUGAACCUAGAGCUCAAAAUCUAUCACUCUCACUCUCUGCCGGAGUCACUCCGCGUGACCUGUACGGCCUUCUGCACAUAAGUUACGCUUUAGUGCUUUUCAUAAUCAUCUGUGCACAUAAUCUAAGGUCACCCACCAGUCGGAAUCUCACUAACACUCUCGCGACUGGCCUGUCGUACCCACUCCGCGUGGACUGUACGACUAGCAUCUACUUGGAUCCAAGACGAGCGUGCGAUGCGGUGAAUACUAUAAGCACUAAACUAUGGUGCAUGAUUUGAGCUCAAUAUACAUCAACAUCAUCAUAACAGAAAUAAAUACUCACAUGUGCGUCCACCGCACCAUUUCAUACAUAUGCAUCAUAAAUCAAUUCUUACCUGUGCGUCCACCGCACCAAUUCAUACAUAUGCAUUAUAAAUCAAUUCUUACCUGUGCGUCCACCGCACCAAUUCAUACAUAUGCAUCAUAUAUUAAUUCAUGCAUGGCAUUUCAAUUCACAUUUCUAUAUACUUUUCAUAUCAAUUCUAUGCAUGGUAUUUCACUUCCCGUUUUUCCACAUAACUCAUAUGCAUUUCAUUUUAAACAUAUUUUCAUUUCAAUUCAAUUUCUGGGAAACGUCAAGUAUAUAUAUAUACGGAAAACAAAACUGCCCACUCACCUGGAGUUCGUCCAACAACUCCCUAGCACCACACAUCAAGGCGUCACGACGAUCGCCGCUAGAAUAGUAAUCAAAUCCAACCUCAGAAUUCAUAUCGAUAGAAUAUAUAACUUAUAUAAAAUACGUCACUACGUAGUUCGAUCCGAAAGAUCUGCCACUCAGAUUUUAAAUCCAUAACUUCCAGAGGUCCACAAUAUAUCUCUAGGAUAACCUCCUAAAAUUUCAUUACCAUCCAACGGUCGGAUCUCCGUAAAUUUUCCAAAACUAAGUGACGGUUAACAUUUUAUAUUAUGGACUUACAAUUCCAAUUCCGGAAGAUCCGUAACUCGGAUUCCCAAUCCGUAAGUUCCAAUAAUCCUCAAAUAUUACGUAUUACAACGUAUCAAAGUUUGGUAACGAUCCAACGGUCGGAUCGUCAAUUCACAUUUUUACCUAAAUGUGAAAACUAUAAAACGUUAUUCGAACACCUAACCAACAAUCCUUAAUAACUUUCUCAUACGGUGCUCAAUUUGGGUAUAUGAAUAUACCACGGUGAUCUACUCGACGUCACGGACGUCGACAUAUUUUUAAAAUAAUUUUAUUUUUAUUUUUUUUUACUGUAGCACCUUCUUCUUCCUUGGGUCGCCGGACUGGUUUUUCCGGCGGCCGUUUUCCGGGCAGUUUUUCAAAUUGCCAUAACUUUGUCAUUUCUCAACGAAAUCAAGUGAUUCAAAAACGAGAGUUGUAGCCCUUGAAGAUACAAAGAUAAUGGUACCUUGCACAACACCUAGUUCGCCGUGGUUUGGCCGGAAACUGCCUCGAAAGCCUCGGAGGUCGCCGGAAACUGGGUAUUUUUCAAAUGAGUAUAACUUCUUCAAUACUCAACGAAAUUGAGUGAAACAAAAAGGAAAGUUGUAGUACUUGACGAGACGAAGAUAUU
rnacentral:lncRNA from 1 species